rnacentral:rRNA from 1 species
CGGAGGAUCCAAGCGUUAUCCGGAAUCAUUGGGUUUAAAGGGUCCGUAGGCGGUUUUAUAAGUCAGUGGUGAAAUCCGGCAGCUUAACUGUCGAACUGCCAUUGAUACUGUAGAACUUGAAUUAUUGUGAAGUAACUAGAAUAUGUAGUGUAGCGGUGAAAUGCUUAGAUAUUACAUGGAAUACCAAUUGCGAAGGCAGGUUACUAACAAUACAUUGACGCUGAUGGACGAAAGCGUGGGGAGCGAACAGGAUUAGAUACCCUGGUAGUCCACGCCGUAAACGAUGGAUACUAGCUGUUUGGUAGCAAUACUGAGUGGCUAAGCGAGAGUGAUAAGUAUCCCACCUGGGGAGUACGAACGCAAGUUUG